GUGGGGAAUCUUCCACAAUGGACGAAAGUCUGAUGGAGCAACGCCGCGUGAGUGAAGAAGGGUUUCGGCUCGUAAAGCUCUGUUGUCGGGGACGAAUGUGCAGUAUUUGAAUAAAGUGCUGUAAUGACGGUACCUGACGAGGAAGCCACGGCUAACUACGUGCCAGCAGCCGCGGUAAUACGUAGGUGGCAAGCGUUGUCCGGAAUUAUUGGGCGUAAAGGGAGCGCAGGCGGGAAGGUAAGUCGGUCUUAAAAGUGCGGGGCUCAACCCCGUGAUGGGAUCGAAACUAUCUUUCUUGAGUGCAGGAGAGGAAAGUGGAAUUCCUAGUGUAGCGGUGAAAUGCGUAGAUAUUAGGAGGAACACCAGUGGCGAAGGCGACUUUCUGGACUGUAACUGACGCUGAGGCUCGAAAGCCAGGGGAGCGAACGGGAUUAGAAACCCUAGUAGUCC
rnacentral:rRNA from 1 species